rnacentral:rRNA from 1 species
CUACCAUGCAGUCGAGGGGUAUAGGUUUUCGGACCUAGAGACCGGCGCACGGGUGCGUAACGCGUAUGCAAUCUACCUUUUACAGAGGGAUAGCCCAGAGAAAUUUGGAUUAAUACCUCAUAGUAUUAUUGAAUGGCAUCAUUUAAUAAUUAAAGUCACAACGGUAAAAGAUGAGCAUGCGUCCCAUUAGCUAGUUGGUAAGGUAACGGCUUACCAAGGCAACGAUGGGUAGGGGUCCUGAGAGGGAGAUCCCCCACACUGGUACUGAGACACGGACCAGACUCCUACGGGAGGCAGCAGUGAGGAAUAUUGGUCAAUGGGCGCAAGCCUGAACCAGCCAUGCCGCGUGCAGGAUGACGGUCCUAUGGAUUGUAAACUGCUUUUGUACAGGAAGAAACAGUUCUACGUGUAGAACCUUGACGGUACUGUAAGAAUAAGGAUCGGCUAACUCCGUGCCAGCAGCCGCGGUAAUACGGAGGAUCCAAGCGUUAUCCGGAAUCAUUGGGUUUAAAGGGUCCGUAGGCGGUUUUGUAAGUCAGUGGUGAAAGCCCAUCGCUCAACGGUGGAACGGCCAUUGAUACUGCAAGACUUGAAUUAUUAGGAAGCAACUAGAAUAUGUAGUGUAGCGGUGAAAUGCUUAGAGAUUACAUGGAAUACCAAUUGCGAAGGCAGGUUGCUACUAAUGGAUUGACGCUGAUGGACGAAAGCGUGGGGAGCGAACAGGAUUAGAUACCCUGGUAGUCCACGCCGUANACGAUGGAUACUAGCUGUUCGGAGCAAUCUGAGUGGCUAAGCGAAAGUGAUAAGUAUCCCACCUGGGGAGUACGUUCGCAAGAAUGAAACUCAAAGGAAUUGACGGGGGCCCGCACAAGCGGUGGAGCAUGUGGUUUAAUU